rnacentral:lncRNA from 1 species
AUGACAAAUAUUUUACCCCUGAGCGAUAGCGAGGGGUAAAAUAUCGGCAUAAAGGGACAACCCGUGGUAAAAUCUAGAUAUAUUCAAGCCCACAUGAAUUAUUUAGAUUCUGAUAGGACACAUACGGCAAUUCUUUUGGAUAGAAGCGCUCUAGGUGUAGGCAAAUAUUUGCCGUUCCCAUAAAUAAACGCACUAAUAAACUAGCGUAAAAGAACGGAGCAAACUGCAUUAUAGUGACAUGCUUAAACUAUUUAAAAUAAUGUAUUUAGACAGUUUUGGAUGAAUUUGAAUGAUAAUUUAUUUAUAUGUCUUAUAUGAUGUACAAUAAAGGGCUUUUGCCACAUUUUAGCAUCAUUUGUGUAUGUUUCCUUGUGAUGAUUUUCGGAUUCACAAGCGUGUAUUUUCCCGUAAAAUGCUUACAUUCUAACGUCAUUGUUCUAUGACGUCGGGUAUCUCAUUCAUAAAAAAGCAUAUG